AUUCAGGGGCUUCCUUACAGCGACCUGUCUCAAAGGUAGGUUUCGCUUAUGGGUUGCUCAUAUCAUCUUCCGGAUCGUACUCCUCUGCCCUUAAUUGGGUGGGGGAGUGGUUCUGGAUCGUUUACUUUGAAAAAAUUAGGGUGUUUAAAGCAGGCUACUAUUAUGCCUUGAAUAGAUUAGCAUGGGAUAAUGGAACACGACUCAGUUGCAGUUUUGUUGGGCUUGGGCGACUGGGUAAUGAUCAAUAGAAACGAUCGGGGUUAUUCAUAUUUAAUUGUCAGAGGUGAAAUUCUUAGAUUCUUUAAAGAUGAACCUAUGCGAAAGCAUCUAACAAGGGCGCUUUCAUUGAUCAAGAACGAAAGUUAGGGGAUCGAAGACGAUCAGAUACCGUCGUAGUCUUAACUAUAAACGUUGCGGACCAAGGAUCGGAGAGGUAUUUUUGUACUACCCCCCCAGCACUUUGAGAGUAAUCAUUGAGUUUUUGCGCUCCGGGGGGAGUAUGGUCGCAAGGCUGAAACUUAAAGGAAUUGACGGAAGGGCACCACCAGGAGUGGAGCCUGCGGCUUAAUUUGACCCAACACGGGAAAACUCACUAGGUCAGGACAUAGCUAGGAUUGACAGAUUGAUAGUUCUUUCUUAAUUUCUAUGGGUGGUGGUGCGUGGCCGUUCUUAGUUGGUGGAGUGAUUUGUCUGGUUAAUUCCGAUAACGAACGAGACCGCAACUUAUUAAAUAGCGGGGUUAAUUGUCUAAUUAGUGAAAGGGUAGGGGUCUGCAGGCCCUCUAACGGGGGUUUCUGUGGUCCCUGCUUGGGAUCUUUGACAUUUUGGCUACUAUAUGCUUCUUAAAGGGACUAUUUGUGUUUAACAAAUGGAAGUGCGGCAAUAACAGGUCUGUGAUGCCCUUAGAUGUCCUAGGCUGCACGCGCGCUACACUGGCAGAUUCAAAGAGUUUGAAAUCGCCUGCCUCGAAGGGGCUGGGUAAUCUGAAAACUUUUGUCGUGACAGGGAUCGAUUAUUGCAAUUAUUAGUCGUCAACGAGGAAUUCCUAGUAAUCGCAAGUCAUCAGCUUGCGAUGAUUACGUCCCUGCCCUUUGUACACACCGCCCGUCGCUCCUACCGAUUGAAUGGUCCGGUGAAAUGUUUGGAUGCUAGGGACCACAUCGGAGCAAUUCGGUGUACUCUGGGAGAAGAUCAGUAAAUCUUAUCAU
rnacentral:rRNA from 1 species